UACAGAGGGUGCGAGCGUUAAUCGGAGUUACUGGGCGUAAAGGGCGCGUAGGCGGUUUAAUAAGAUUGAUGUGAAAGCCCGGAGCUCAACUCCGGGACUGCCUUGGAUACGGGAUCGCUUGAGGAUUGGAGAGGCAAGGGGAAUUCCACGUGUAGCGGUGAAAUGCGUAGAUAUCAGGAGGAACACCGAUGGCGAAGGCAGGUCUCUGGGCUGUAACUGACGCUGAGGAGCGAAAGCAUGGGGAGCGAACAGG
rnacentral:rRNA from 1 species